AGAAGAUUCAAAGUCAAAGGGCUGGACAGACUUGGAACUCAGCAUGUUUUGUCCAGGAACUACUUCUAAAGCUUCAAAGAGCAGAUGUUUUGAAGAACAUGGGUACGUGUUUGGGCAAGAAUCUUGCAGAAGCAUUCCUAAACACAGCCUCCUGUGAGGGUCUCAAACUCAGGCAUAGAAGAAUCAUUUGUUUGGGCUGAAAGAGAUCAGGUUAUGGCAGACUGAUAUCAACAAGCCCUGUCUCCAAGAGUAAAGUAAUUGAUCAUAUUCAGGUAUAUCCUACUUUCCC